rnacentral:rRNA from 1 species
CAUUAUACGGCGAAACUGCGAAUGGCUCAUUAAAUCAGUUAUCGUUUAUUUGAUAGUACCUUACUACUUGGAUAACCGUGGUAAUUCUAGAGCUAAUACAUGCUUAAAACCCCGACUCACGAAGGGGUGUAUUUAUUAGAUUAAAAACCAAUGCCCUUCGGGGCUCUUUGGUGAUUCAUAAUAACUUUUCGAAUCGCAUGGCCUUGCGCCGGCGAUGGUUCAUUCAAAUUUCUGCCCUAUCAACUUUCGAUGGCAGGGUCUUGGCCUGCCAUGGUGACAACGGGUAACGGAGGGUUAGGGCUCGACCCCGGAGAAGGAGCCUGAGAAACGGCUACUACAUCCAAGGAAGGCAGCAGGCGCGCAAAUUACCCAAUCCCGACUCGGGGAGGUAGUGACAAUAAAUACUGAUACAGGGCUCUUUUGGGUCUUGUAAUUGGAAUGAGUACAAUUUAAAUCCCUUAACGAGGAACAAUUGGAGGGCAAGUCUGGUGCCAGCAGCCGCGGUAAUUCCAGCUCCAAUAGCGUAUAUUAAAGUUGUUGCAGUUAAAAAGCUCGUAGUUGAACCUUGGGCCUGGCUGGCCGGUCCGCCUCACCGCGUGCACUGGUUCGGCCGGGCCUUUCCCUCUGGGGAACCGCAUGCCCUUCACUGGGUGUGUCGGGGAACCAGGACUUUUACUGUGAAAAAAUUAGAGUGUUCAAAGCAGGCCUAUGCUCGAAUACAUUAGCAUGGAAUAAUAGAAUAGGACGUGUGGUUCUAUUUUGUUGGUUUCUAGGACCGCCGUAAUGAUUAAUAGGGACAGUCGGGGGCAUCAGUAUUCAAUUGUCAGAGGUGAAAUUCUUGGAUUUAUUGAAGACUAACUACUGCGAAAGCAUUUGCCAAGGAUGUUUUCAUUAAUCAGGAACGAAAGUUAGGGGAUCGAAGACGAUCAGAUACCGUCGUAGUCUUAACCAUAAACUAUGCCGACUAGGGAUCGGGCGAUGUUAUUAUUUGACUCGCUCGGCACCUUACGAGAAAUCAAAGUCUUU